AGAGUUUGAUCCUGGCUCAGAUUGAACGCUGGCGGCAUGCCUUACACAUGCAAGUCGAACGGCAGCACGGGAGCAAUCCUGGUGGCGAGUGGCGAACGGGUGAGUAAUACAUCGGAACAUGUCCAGUAGUGGGGGAUAGCCCGGCGAAAGCCGGAUUAAUACCGCAUACGAUCUGUGGAUGAAAGCGGGGGAUCGCAAGACCUCGCGCUAUUGGGGUGGCCGAUGGCGGAUUAGCUGGUUGGUGGGGUAAAGGCCUACCAAGGCGACGAUCCGUAGCUGGUCUGAGAGGACGACCAGCCACACUGGGACUGAGACAUGGCCCAGACUCCUACGGGAGGCAGCAGUGGGGAAUUUUGGACAAUGGGGGCAACCCUGAUCCAGCAAUGCCGCGUGUGUGAAGAAGGCCUUCGGGUUGUAAAGCACUUUUGUCCGGGAAGAAAUUCCCUGCCCUAAUACGGCGGGGGGAUGACGGUACCGGAAGAAUAAGCACCGGCUAACUACGUGCCAGCAGCCGCGGUAAUACGUAGGGUGCGAGCGUUAAUCGGAAUUACUGGGCGUAAAGCGUGCGCAGGCGGUGAUGUAAGACCGAUGUGAAAUCCCCGGGCUCAACCUGGGAACUGCAUUGGUGACUGCAUCGCUGGAGUAUGGCAGAGGGGGGUGGAAUUCCACGUAGCAGUGAAAUGCGUAGAGAUGUGGAGGAACACCGAUGGCGAAGGCAGCCCCCUGGGCCAAUACUGACGCUCAUGCACGAAAGCGUGGGGAGCAAACAGGAUUAGAUACCCCCGUAGUCC
rnacentral:rRNA from 1 species